rnacentral:snRNA from 1 species
GUGCUUGCUUCAGCAGUACAUAUACUAAAAUUUUAGAACAAUAAAGAGAAGAUUAGGGGGCAACACCUGUGGCUUAAAGGAGUAGGGUGCUGGCGCCAUAUGGUGGAGGUGGCAGGUUCAAACACAGCCCUGGUCAAAAACUGCCAAAAAAAAAAGAGAGAAGAUUAGUAUGGUCCCUAGCAAGGAUGAUAUGCUAAUUUGUGAAGCACUCCAUAUUUUU